AGCAGGCACUCGACGUUGUUUCAACGUUGAAACAACGUUGAAAUAUGGUCGUGACGUUGUUCAACCAAUAUUCAACUAUGGACGACCAUACGGAUAUAUAGCCAAUGUAUAUACAACGUUGAUUCAACGUUGUUUAUGGUCGAAGUUUUACAUUUAGUUUAAUCAUUAUAUAAACUUUUAUACCACUAAUUUUGUGUUAUUAUUCCUUUUUUUUUUUUAUUGAAUUAGUCUGUAAGUGUUUUUUGUCAGGAAAAUUUGCGUUACAAUCUUUUUCCGUAUAUAUUCAAAAUUAGCGCUGAAACAAAUAAAGUUGGAAAUAAUUUUUCACUUUCUAAUAACGCUUUAAAUAUUAGUUAAUAUGUUUUGUUGUUUGUUGUUUUAUUUUUUAGUUCUUUAUGAAUAAUAUUAAUUAAUAAAUUGAUAUUAGUCAAAACCCUGUUUAUAAAAUAACGCUGGUCAGGGGAAGUAAUUGUUGCGGUCUAUGAUUUUGUUUGUUGUCUAUGAUUAUCGUUCGUGCAAAUGGUGGCGCUGUUUGGAAAAUUUGAAAACAACACGAUUGGCAAUUUAUUUGGAUUUCGGAGAUCCUGGUCCUGGUUGAAAUUUAGAGUAUUGCAGCUGUAGCCUGUAUACCAUACAUUCAGCAUGAAAAGGACUGUCAGGAUGCUGCAUAAAAUGGUCUUAGCUAGAGCCUAUACUGUUAAUUUCUUGGGAAUAUGCUGCAAGGAACUGACAGGGAGCAGUUUUUCUUACCAAUCAUAGAAGCAGUAAGAGACAGCCAAAGAAGUACUCAAACACUUGACAUACCCAGAAAGAUCUAGAAGAAAAGAUUGGAACAGAUUGUAGUUUAAUUGUUAAAACUAUUAAAGUGAAUUUAAGCUGCACUUGAACUGUAUUUUUGAAAUAAAAUAUCUGAAGUAUUUAA